rnacentral:rRNA from 1 species
CAAUAGCGUAUAUUAAAGUUGUUGCAGUUAAAAAGCUCGUAGUUGGAUUUCUGGUUGAAGCGACCGGUCGGGCGUUGAUUCGUCUGCACUGGAGUCGGUUUUGGCCAUCCUCUAGGAAAGUGCGUCUGGUAUUAAGUUAUCGGGCGUAUGAUCCUGGUCUUUUACUGUGAAAAAAUUAGAGUGUUUAAAGCAGGCCUUCGCCUUGAGUACAUUAGCAUGGAAUAAUAAGAUAGGACUUUGGUCUAUUUUGUUGGUUUGCAGACCGAAGUAAUGAUUAAUAGGGAUAGUUGGGGGUAUUUAUAUUCCGAUGUCAGAGGUGAAAUUCUUAGAUUUUCGGAAGAUAAACUUAUGCGAAAGCAUUUACCAAGGAUGUUUNCAUUA